rnacentral:rRNA from 1 species
ACGCUUUUUACUUUAGCUUGCUAGAGUAGAAGGAGUUGCGAACGGGUGAGUAACGCGUAGGUAACCUACCUACUAGCGGGGGAUAACUAUUGGAAACGAUAGCUAAUACCGCAUAAGAGUUUUUAACACAUGUUAGAAGCUUGAAAGAUGCAAAUGCAUCACUAGUAGAUGGACCUGCGUUGUAUUAGCUAGUUGGUGGGGUAAAGGCCUACCAAGCCGACGAUCUCUAGCUGGUCUGAGAGGAUGACCAGCCACACUGGGACUGAGACACGGCCCAGACUCCUACAGGAGGCAGCAGUAGGGAAUCUUCGGCAAUGGGGGCAACCCUGACCGAGCAACGCCGCGUGAGUGAAGAAGGUUUUCGGAUCGUAAAUCUCUGUUGUAAGAGAAGAACGUGUGUGAGAGUGGAAAGUUCACACAGUGACGGUAACUUACCAGAAAGGGACGGCUAACUACGUGCCAGCAGCCGCGGUAAUACGUAGGUCCCGAGCGUUGUCCGGAUUUAUUGGGCGUAAAGCGAGCGCAGGCGGUUUAAUAAGUCUGAAGUUAAAGGCAGUGGCUUAACCAUUGUUCGCUUUGGAAACUGUUAAACUUGAGUGCAGAAGGGGAGAGUGGAAUUCCAUGUGUAGCGGUGAAACGCGUAGAUAUAUGGAGGAACACCGGUGGCGAAAGCGGCUCUCUGGUCUGUAACUGACGCUGAG